rnacentral:rRNA from 1 species
UACGAAGGGGGCUAGCGUUGCUCGGAAUCACUGGGCGUAAAGGGUGCGUAGGCGGGGCUUUAAGUCAGGGGUGAAAUCCUGGAGCUCAACUCCAGAACUGCCUUUGAUACUGAAGAUCUUGAGUUCGGGAGAGGUGAGUGGAACUGCGAGUGUAGAGGUGAAAUUCGUAGAUAUUCGCAAGAACACCAGUGGCGAAGGCGGCUCACUGGCCCGAUACCGACGCUGAGGCACGAAAGCGUGGGGAGCAAACAGG